rnacentral:rRNA from 1 species
UACGUAGGGGGCAAGCGUUGUCCGGAAUCAUUGGGCGUAAAGAGCGUGUAGGCGGUCCGGUAAGUCCGCUGUGAAAGUCGGGGGCUCAACUCCGGAUCUGCGGUGGGUGCGGGCAGACUAGAGUGAUGUAGGGGAGACUGGAAUUCCUGGUGUAGCGGUGAAAUGCGCAGAUAUCAGGAGGAACACCGGUGGCGAAGGCGGGACUCUGGGCCGAUACUGACGCUGAGGAGCGAAAGCGUGGGGAGCAAACAGG